rnacentral:tRNA from 1 species
CCCUUAGCUCAGCUGGAUAGAGCAACGGCCUUCUAAGCCGUAGGUCACAGGUUCGAAUCCUGUAGGG